rnacentral:misc_RNA from 1 species
AGACAAUGUCCACCAAAGCUAAGUCUAAACAAGAAAGCUGAAGGACUAACAGACUCCAUAUCCAUCGCUAAAACUGAAAUAAGCAGUCCAACCACCAAACAUAACUCUAGCCCUAGUAGUUUGGACGAUGCUCAAAGCUAAGGGGCUGCUGAUAGAAUGGCACCUGACCUACCUGAACACCAUGCCUGAAAUGGUCAUAGGGGUGAGCAUACAUCAUCAUCGCAGGGUUAGGCCAUUGCAUAAAGACAGCAUCCUUGGAAGCCUGAUUGGUUCCGAAAUCGCAGAAGGAAUUCAUAGUCAGAUGGUUGGACGGCAUGAAGCCCACAGAAGCAGGGCUCCUCGGCAGUUGACUCAUCUGAGGGAAGCCUGUCUCGUACUGCACAAACGGUGGCUGAAUAACAUUACACCCCCCUAAGAAAAUAGUCUGGCUCGGUGUAUGAGCUCUAACAUACCUGACAUAGUGCCGAUCAUAAUCUGGAUCAGUGCGGUCCUUUUCCCUAUCUCUAAAAAUUGCCACCCUGGAAGCACUUUCUUGCUCAUCCCCACUUGAACAAGAACUUCUGACAUCAGAUGGUGAACCUUCUGCAUCUGGAUUGGCAGAACCACUGAAGAUGCGCGCUCGUGCUUUAUCAUAAUCUUCCUU